UUGGCUAGAUUGGGGGUUAGGUUGUUUGACUCUGCUGAAAGUAGUAUAGGGGUUGAGAGUCGUUCCAAAUCCUUUUUGGCUUCGAAAGUGAACGAAAAGCAAUACUUAGAUGCUAGUUUAGUCAUACUGAAGGAGUCAGUCAAGGACCAAAAAGUAGAGGUUUUCUCCCAAGGGGGAGAUGGUGUGUUGAGAUUGCAGG
rnacentral:lncRNA from 1 species